UGGCCUUUUAAAUAUCUCAUUUCAGGUACAUAAAAUUAAAUCUGGCUUUGUAAAUGGAAAUUAAAAGUAUUAAUACUUCAUUGCAUGAAAAUCAAAUGGGUAAUAUUUAAGGAGCAUGAAAUAUGGUUGAAUGUGAUGCUAGGUUAUUUCAAAUGUGCUUUUCAUGUGGAAAUUAAAAGUAUCAAUACUUCAUUGCAUGAAAAUCAAAUGGGUAAUAUUUAAGAAGCAUGAAAUAUGGUUGAAUGUGAUGCUAGGUUAUUUCAAAUGUGCUUUUCAUGCAAGUAUCAAAAUACCUUUUAUUGGCAUUCACAAAGCCAGAUAUCAUUAUGCAAGUGAAGUGAAAUGAACUAUAGGUAUAAAAAUGGCCAUAGCUGGUUUGAGUAUGAUCUGACUAAACUGUUUGAUACAAGCUUGUGUACACAGAAGGUAUAUUAUCAAUACAAAUCAGUAUGCUUGGAAUUUAAAUAAGGGGUUUUUUUUAAUACCCAAAUAUAUCAAUGAAAAAAUAGCUUAAAUAUUUACCACAACUAAUAUUCACAGAUUAAAUGUGCAUGUGCCAUAUAUAUAUCCUUGUGGGUGGACAGAUGAAAUGAAACUGACUAUUGUGCCCCUCCAAACUCAACUGUGCUCCAGGAGCACAAAGACAUGAGAUAUUUGAAAUGAUGUCAUGGAUCAGUACAAGGCAUUCAAGUUGCAAGGGGACUAUUUAUUGAAUGAGCCCAUGGAAUACAGGCCCUUGACUCUACAUUGUCACCUCUACAAUGAAACAGACACAAGGUGGAUAUUACAGGACUCACUGAACCAUACAAACCCAAGAAGGAAAGAGGGUGAGGAAGGUGUAUGGGGAAAUCUAAAGGGGUAGAGAGAGGACAAGGGAGAAAUAUAGGGACAUUUAAAUUACAUCUGACAAUCAAUUUCUUUCCCUCGGUUUCGUCCUCCUCUUUCCUCUCCCUCAACACAACACAACAGUCCAGUACUCACCACUAACGUAGCUACAAGAGGAUGGGUGCUGAUUACUCCUUUAUACAGUGCAGCAGAUGUCCAGAAGCCCGGAGAGUCAUGCGGAAGAAAAAGAUUGGUUCGAGGAGAUGGAUUAAAGAAAAAGAUGGGUGCAAGGAGGAGGUGUUGUGGAAAUAUGAAAGGAUGAAUAACACAACAUACCUACUCACUUCUUGCCUGUCUGUAAACCUCACAUGAAAAGCCCGAAUCUGUUGCCUAUUAGUCUGUCAACUGUCCAAAGAAUAGGCAUUUCCCUUUUGCUAUCUAUAGUGUAUGUACUCAAACCAUCCUCUCACUCCUUGGCUGUCUGUAAACCAUCAAAAGCCUGAAUCUGUUAACUGCUACUCUGUGAAAUGUCCAUAAAAUAGGUAUAUAUUUCCUCUUUCAACCAAUGAUGCAUGUGUACUCAAACCACCCUCAACACAUACAAAACUUCUAAAUGGAGACAAAUAAAAUGUAACAAAAAUAUGUGUUGAAGUCUUUGCAAGGACACCAAAAAUCGCUGAACAAACACAGCAUUGAGUGAUACGUCUGUGCUGAGAAAAUAAAUGCUGUACUGCUCCCACUCUGAAGCUCCUACCCUGACCCUGCAUCUGUUGCCUGCUGAAGUCUGUGAAUGAUCUAAAGAAUAGCUUCCAAUUUAUCUGUCCAAC